AGGUGCCAUGUGGAAGUCUGAGAUGACAGAUGUACAGACUCAGAGGCUGAGAGUCAUUAACACUGCCUCUUGUGGUUUUUAUGAAUACAACAGAGAGUUAAAUAAAUUAACCGACUUGCCCAACAUCUCACAGGCCCAUUCAACGGCAUUCCUUCACUAACUAGUUAACUUCUUAAUUCAACCAUUUCUUCCAUUUAGAUAGUUACAUUCUUAGUUUCCGUCGUGGUGCAGUGGAAGCGAAUCCAACUGGGAAUCAUGAGGUUGCGAGUUUGAUCCCUGGCCUCGUUCAGUGGGUUAAGGAUCUGGUGUUGUCGUGAACUGUGGUGUAGGUCGCAAACACGGCUCAGAUCCUGCAUUGCUGUGGCUGUAGCUCCGAUUUGACCCCUAGCCUGGGAACCUCCUUAUGCCAUGGGUGCAGCCCUAAAAAGACAUAAAGACAAAAAAAAAAAAAGAAAAAAAGAUAGUUAUUUGAAGAAUAAGAGGGUUUUCUAGAGCAAUCAUACAUAACCAAAUCCUGCAGCUCAGUGGUUUCCAAACCUGACUUACGCUCAGAAUCAGCUGGAGGGCUUUUACAAACACAGAUUCUUAUUACGGUAAAUAAAACAUCUCUGAACAUUCAUUGAACAGGUGUGUGUGUAGACGUAUGCUUUUUUCCCUCUUACCUAUGAGUGAAGUGGCUGGAUCAUAUGGUAGGUGUUUUUAAUUCUUUAAAAAGAUGCCAACUUGCUUUCCAAAGUGGCUGUAUCAGUUUAUAUUACCAUCAGCAUAGCAGUGUAUGAGUAUUCAGGUCACUCCACAUCCUCACCAACACGCGGAAUAAUUGGCCUUUUCUAAAAAAAUUGAGGUAAGUUGAUUCACAAUGUUGUGUUAGUUUCAGGUGUACAGUAAAGAGAUUCAGUACAUAUAUAUAUUUUUUUUUCAGAUUCUUUUCCCUUAUAGGUUAUUACAGAAUAUUAAGUUUCGUUCCAAGUGCUAUACAAUAAGUCUUUGGUGGUUAUCUAUUUUAUAUAUGGUAUUGAGUAUAUGUUAAUUCCAUCCCCCUAAUUUAUCUCUCUCCCCCCCUUCCCCUUUGGUAACCAUAAAUUUGUUUUAUAUUUCUGUGGGUCUAUUUCUGUUCUAUAAAUAAGUUCAUUUGUAUCUUUUUUUUCAGAUUCCACAUGUAAGUGAUAUCAUAUAUUUGUCUUUGUCUAGCUUAUUUCACUUAGUAUGAUAACAACAGAUGAAUUAAUAAAGAAGAUACACACACACACACACACAUAUACAUCCAAUGGAAUAUUACUUAGUCAUAAAAAGGAAUUAAAUAAUGCCAUUUGCAGCAACAUGGAUGGACCUAGAGACUAUCAUGUUAAGUGAUUGGCCUUCUUAAUUUUUGACAUUCCAAUAGGUAUGUAGUGAUAUCUCAUUGUGGUUUUAAUUUGAAUUUCCCUAAUCACUAAGGGUGUUCAGCAUCUUUUCGUUUGAUUAUUUGCCAUCUGUAUGUCUUUUUGGUUAAGUGACUAUUCAAAUUUUUUCCCAAUUUUUAAAUUGGAUUGUUCAUUUUCUUAUUAUUAAGGUUUGAGACUUUGAAUGCUAAUGCUCAUAGAAGCUUUAUUUGUAAGAGCUUCAAACUGGAAACAACCUAAAUGUUCCCUAACAGGUGAAUGGGUAAACAAAUUGUGACAUAGCCUUAGGAUAGAAUUUACUCAUUGGAGUUCCCGUCAUGGCUCAGUGGUUAAUGAACCCGACUAGUAUCCAUGAGGACUCGGGUUUGAGCCCUGGCCUCGUUCAGUGGGUUAAGGAUCCAGCUUUGCCGUGAGAGGUGUUGUAGAUCCCAGAUGAGGCUUGGAUCCUGAGUUGCUGUGGCUGUGGUGUAGGCCAGCAGCUACAGCUCUGAUUUGACCUCUAGUCUGGAAACCUCCAUUAUGCCGCGAGCGUGGCCCUAAAAAAAGAAAAAAGACAAAAACGAACAAAGAAAACAACCCUGAAAACCCAAAAAACAAAAAGGAAACUGUUAUGGGCUAGAUAUCAUGAUUGUGGUGAUGGUUUCAAGAGUGAAUAUGUAUGUCAAAACUUAUCUAAUUGUUCAUUGUAAACAUAUGCAGUUUAUCAUAGUUCAGUUACCCCUCAAUACAGCUGUUAAAGCAAGAGAAAGAAAAAAAACCUGCAGUAAAAUGCAGGUUCCUAGGCCUUCCCCAGAACUCCUGUAUCAUAGAGGAUCCUGGAAUCUGUGGCAGAAAGGGGAUGCCAGCUGUGCUGUAAAAGGAAAACAUACUACUUUGGGUGUCACCCCCAAAAUUGUAGAUUUGAAUUCUCCCUUCACCACUUAGCCAGCUGUGUGUGUGCCUGGAAACCAAAACCAAAACCACAUAACUGCUCUGCUUCUUAGUUUUCAGCAUCUGUACGAAUGGAAUAAUGACCAGAAAAAUAUUUGCACAGUAUUCUUGUGAGGCUUAAACUAAGUAACCUAAUGGAAGUGCCUGGUACAAAGUACAUCUCCACAAAUGUGGAUUCAUGGAACUCCCAUUUUCCCAAGAAACCUUCCAAAAGGGAGGGGUUGGGUCUGGGAGUGGAAACCUAAGUUGGGCUGGAGAGUGUGCGUGGUGUGUGUGCCCACAUGUGUGCCUGGCGAGACUGGCUCUGACCAGCUGGGGUUAGCAGGGUCCUGGAGGAUUUGGAGAAGGGGGCUUAGAAUUCCCAGCCACCUCUGCAGACUUCAUGAAUCCCUCACUACAACACAUUAGGGCACAACCCCAGCUCCCUCGGGGAUUGCUAUGAUGAAUGUUUGUUUCCUUCUGCAUCAGGGCCAGAAGCUGGAAGCUUCUCUCCUCUGCCAUCCUUUAUCAUAUUGUUAACUGGUUAACUGACUGGGAUGGAGCAGCCCAAACCAAAGGGAGGCAGCCAGAGCGGGUGCUUUUCUUCACUUCCCUGCCUCUUCCUUCCCCUUUGUAAGCUCUGUGCCUUCACUCCCUUUUCGAUAGAGCUACAAAGGCCCUCGGGGGUGGGCGUGCAUGCGGGAGUGUGACACUUGUGCACGCACACACGCUCGCAUGCACACACACACACUCUCCUUCCAUCCGGGGCCAGGGUGAUGAAUUGCGGCGUUUGAAAGCCUCCUUAUCGCAGUGGCGCACAUGUUCUCUGAAGCGUGUGCCUGUGUGAGUGCUGGAGAGGUGCAGGGCGAACCCUUGGGGUGGGAAAAUAGAGCUCCUGGCUUCCCUUGUCCCUCCCCUCUUUGUCUAGAUGAAAUUUCAGAUGCUGCUGGGUGUCUUGUCAGCAAGUCUUUUGCAAAAUAAAUGGAGGUGGUAUUUUUUUUUUUUAAGCUGAUUUGUUUAGUAUUUAGCCCACAGAGAGGCUGUGGACAAAUGUUGAUGAAAAUGCCCGCUCCCAUGUGCAGGCGGGACACUCAGUCUGAUGGGUGAAAGACAGCCAGGAAGGAACUAAACAAACCUUUAUUGAGUGCCUACUGUUUACUGCAUCCUUUCCUGCUCAUAAGCUUUUUUUAAUUAUCAUUUAUUUAUAUAUAUAUAUUUUUUUUUCCUACUGUACAGCAUGGUGACCCAGUUAACACUUACAUGUGUACAUUCUUUUUUCUCACAUUACAUGUUCCAUCAUUAAGUGACUAGACAGAGUUCCCAGUGCUACACAGCAGGAUCCCAUUGCUAAUGCAUCCCAAAGGCAACAUUCUGCAUCUUUUUACCCCAAGCUCCCACUCCCUCCCACUUCCUCCUCUUCCCUCUUGGCAACCACAAGUCUAUUCUCCAAGUCCAUGAUUUUCUUUUCUGUGGAAAGUUUCCUUUGUGCCAUAUAUUAUGUUCCAGAUAUAAGUGAUAUCAUAUGGUAUUUGUCUUUCUCUUUCUGACUUACUUCACUCAGGAUGAGAAUCUCUAGUUCCAUCAUGUUGCUGCAAAUGCAUUAUUUUGUUCUUUCUUAUGUCCGAGUAAUAUUCCAUUGUGUAUAUAUUCCACAUCUUCCUAAUCCAUUCAUCUAUUGAUGGACAUUUGGUUUGUUUCCAUGUCUUGGCUAUUGUGAAUAGUGCUGCAAUGAACAUAUUUUUUUUUUAAAGGAAAGUUUUGUCUGGAUAUAUGCCCAAGAGUGGGAUUGCUGGGUCAUAUGGUAGUUCUAUGUGUAGAUUUCUAAGGCACCUCCAUACUUUUAUCCAUAGUGUUGUACCAGCUUACAUUCCCACCAAGAGUGCAGGAGGGUUCCCUUUUGUCCACACCCCAUCCAGCAUCUGUUAAUUUGUGGACUGACUAAUGAUGGCCAUUCUGACCGGUGUGAAGUGGUAUCUCAUGGUAGGCAUAAGUUUCAUUAAUCCUGAGUCACCCAUUUAUUUCAAGUGCAAAAUAAACACCACCGGGCCUGAACUGAGUUAAAAGUUGGGGUGUCACCUCCACCCUCCUGUUAAUCACUAAUGGCCUGAUGUACAGAAAUGAUGCUUUACCAAGGAAGUGUGGGCCACAGCGGGCAGGUGACGAUAAAGCGACAUCUUGAAUUUCUAGAGCAUUAUAAUUUCCCAGUAAUCAGACACUUCUUUUUAUAUAUAUGUAUAUAUUUACUGGCUUCAUUAAAGACACACUGUACUUAUUAUUAGGCUGCAGGCUACACUAACAGAAUUAAAAGGAGAAAAAAGUGCAGGCAAUUAAAUAAGUUCUUUUGUCCUGGAAACAGCCCUGUAAAACAAGAUGCAUCAUUUCUCCAAAGACAAGAGCAGGGGAGGUGACAGAGAAUUCCCUUGCCAGAAUCUUCUCUUUGGGGGCAGUGAAGGUGGGACAUUAGCUCUUCUGGAACUUUCCAUCCUUGUUUAACAUGCUGCCAAGCUGUCUUCCUAACUCAUUCCAGCGAUGGUUGUCCUGGGAGGGUUCAAUGCAUGUACAUCUUGUCAAGACUGUUAUUAUGGGAGUUUCCAUCAUGGCUCAGUGGAAACGAAUCUGACUAGAAUCUAUGGGGAUGCAGGUUCAAUCCCUGGCCUUGCUCAGUGGGUUAAGGAUCUGGUGUUGCCCUGAGCUGUGGUGUAGGUUUCAGACACAGCUUGGAUCCUGCAUUGUUGUGGCUGUGGUGCAGGCCGGUGGCUAUAGCUCCGAUUCGACCCCUAGCCUGGGAGCCCCCAUGUGCC
rnacentral:lncRNA from 1 species